CCUACGGGAGGCAGCAGUGGGGAAUAUUGCACAAUGGGCGAAAGCCUGAUCCAGCCAUACCGCGUGUGUGAAGAAGGCCCUAGGGUUGUAAAGCACUUUAAGUUGGGAAGAAAAGUUAUUGGUUAAUACCCAAUGACCGUGACAUUACCAUCAGAAUAAGGACCGGCUAAUUCCGUGCCAGCAGCCGCGGUAAU
rnacentral:rRNA from 1 species